UCCCAGACUCCUACGGGAGGCAGCAGUGAGGAAUAUUGGUCAAUGGGCGCGAGCCUGAACCAGCCAAGUCGCGUGAGGGAGGACGGCCCUACGGGUUGUAAACCUCUUUUGCCGGGGAGCAACGGGCGUCACGUGUGGCGCCACUGAGAGUACCCGGAGAAAAAGCAUCGGCUAACUCCGUGCCAGCAGCCGCGGUAAUACGGAGGAUGCGAGCGUUUUCCGGAUUUAUUGGGUUUAAAGGUGGCGUAGGGGGAUUGUUAAUUCAGUGGUAAAAUGGGGGGGCACACCCCCUCCCCGCCAUUGAAACUGGCGCUCUUGAGUGGAAGAGAAGUGUGCGGAAUGCGUGGUGUAGCGGUGAAAUGCAUAGAUAUCACGCAGAACCCCGAUUGCGAAGGCAGCAUGCCGGCUUCCGACUGACGCUGAAGCACGAAAGCGUGGGGAUCGAACAGGAUUAGAUACCCCAGUA
rnacentral:rRNA from 1 species